UGGUUGGUGUGUAUGUGCCUAAAAGCACUGUAAUAAUUUAGGAAAGUCAUGGGUCGCUUAUCGCUCCUUCCAGCCGGUUUCAAUGCCCACAUGGCCACGCGAACGUAAACCCUAGUCCAACAGGUAGAAGGAAAGCCCCAUAAAAUCCCUCCCCCAAAUCUCCCAUGCCUUAUAAGAAGAAGAAGGGAGGAAAGCCCCGCCAACCCCCGUCACGAGCCCGAGGCCAACAACUCCCCCCCCUUCCCCCAAAUCCUACCAUGGUCCAAGAUCCCCAACCCCAACCCCAACCCCAAUCCCAGUCUCCGGCCAGGGAAGAAGAUGCCGCCACACCACCUCCGCCGGCGCCGGCGCCUCCGGAAGAUGUUGAAGACGGAGGAGAAAAGGAAGAGGAAGCCCAGGCCAUGGUGGCUUCCCCUCCUCCCCCUCCCGACCUCGCUGCACCGGAGCUCCCGGUCCCUCACUCUGCUCCGGCCUCCCGGAAACCAUUCGGCAAGCGGAAGAAACCCUUGACGGAAAAGCAGCGGGCCGCGGUCCAGCAGAAGGUCGCCCUCCUUAAAGAGAACCUCCGCCCCUUCCCCUUCGUCCCCGAGAAAACCCUAGAUCUCUCCAAGAACGAGCAGCUCUUCCGCGCCCUGGGGCUCUGGGACUUCGCUCACGUACAGCUGGAUCGCGAGAUCCGCUCCGAUUUUCUCAUAGCUCUCAUCUCCCACUACGAUCCCCCCAACCGCCGGAGCUUCGUCAACGAUGUCCGGAUCUCCGUCAGCCGUGCCGAUCUUGCCCGGGCUCUGUCGCUUCCGGUCAAGAAGGAGAAAGCCGGUGCUUUAGAGGGCGGCGACUCUCAGCAGGAGCUUUUCUCGAAGGAGGAGUCGGUCACGGCCAUCAUGGACUUCAUGUCGACCUAUAUGCUGUUCCAGUUCCAGGAUGAUGCGUGCAUACUACCGGCAGAGGUCGUGACGGUGACCCGGAUGGUGAAGGAGGGGCAGCCGCAGAAGGUGGAUUGGGCGGGGCUGAUGUGGAGUUUCGUGGAGAAAGAGCUCUUGGAGGUGCCAAAAUCCGGGGACUGCUACUAUGCUUCACAUCUCCAGUGUUUGAUGAAACACCAACAGCCAGGGUUGUUUGAAGAAGAAGCAGAGCCCAAGCAUGAGCCUGUCCCUGAGCCUGAGCAUGAGAUAGAGUCUGAGCCUAAGCCUGAGCCCUCCACUGAAGUUCCUAUUGAAGAAGAGGAAGUUCCUAUGGAAGAAGAGGAAGAUGAUGCAGAUGAUGGUGCCGCAAAGACCAGAAGUUUAGAGGAUUUUUCAGAUGCCGGUCAUGAGAAGCAUGGGCCUGGGUUGAGUUUGGGACUUGGUGGGGAUGCGGAUGUAGAUGUUAUGGAUGGUUUUGAAGAGUGUAAGGAGGGAGAUGAGGAGCAGUGGCUUCCAGAAGAAAAGAAUGUGGGUGUUGAUCAUUCCUUGCGACGCUGCAGUUGAGUGCUGGUGGGGGUAUGGAGUUUGAAAAUUUGAGUAAGGAAGUUGGGGAAGGGAGAGCGGAAGAAGGCUAUGUUGAUGACAUAUCUGCAAAGUUUGCUUCUUUGGAGAGACUAACUUCAACUGACCUACUUCAAGCAAUGGACACUGUCAAUGUUCCCUAUAAUCUGCCUGUGAAUACCCUUGACCCUUCUUCAGGAGAAUUUUUGGCAAUGAGACCUGAUGGAGCUGAUGCUCAGAAGACCAUGUCGCUGAACCAUGGACCAGGCAGUUCUUUCUUCUUUGGGAAUAAUGGCAAAAGGCAUAUUGGGGAGAUUGAUGAUGAUGACGACGACGAUGAUGAGGACAUUCACCAGUUCUCCCAAAACAAUCAGCAAAAGAGGAUGAGGACUGACGGAAUUUGGGAACGUGCACCAUCAGAUUUUGAGACAUGCAUGGAACAAGUACAGAGCUGUAUGGCGAAGGCUAAAAUUCUUUUUGCAGAGAAAGAGCAAACUUGCAUGAGUGCCCAAUUGGAGCUGCAGUACAUGAACCACAUGCUUCAGCAGAAGGAUCAGAUCAUCCACUCCUUGGAGAAAACAAGGGUGGAAGAGCAACAGAAGUGGCAGAUGGAGGCUCACCGGUGUGAGCAUGAGCUCAAUGUGAUGGCCCAACUGGUUUUUGGUUAUAAAAAGGCUUUGAGGGAAACCCGCAUCGCAUUUGCGGAGUAUAGAAAGAAGUUUCCACAGGGUGAUGAGCCUCUUUACAAAGAUGUUGGUGGGACUGGUGGUAUAGUUCUUAGUACUAGGGAGUUGGAAAGACAACGGUUGCAGAAAGAGGAGGAAAUGCGUAUUGCUGUAGCUGAGAUGAUCAAUGAUUUUCAAAAGGAAUGGUUAGGUAAGCUUGACCAAUAUGCUUCAUUUCUUGCAGUGUUGACUAAGAGGAUUACGGGUCUUGAAGGAGAAAUCAGGCUUCUAAAGCAAAAUUUUGCUGCAAUUAAGGAUUCAAAGACUCAAGCUGCCUAAGGUACUUGCUCUACAUGACUUGUCUGGAGGAACCUUGUCUUAUGCGUACAUGGAACCAACGGUCUUAAGCAAAUAUGUUCAUGUUUAUUAAUAUUUAAAGAAAGAUCCUCUUAGGUCUCUGUGUUGUUCAACAAAGUAUUUGUUAAUGAGCCCUAAACUACUGCUUUUUAUCAUAUAAUCAGUAUCACAACUCAAACAGGAUAUUUUCAUUCU